GAAUAACCAUGGCGUGGUUGUUGCUGGCUUUUCGGAGCACUGUGCACACCCGUCAUUCUUAUCUUUCCACCUGUGCACUAAACGUAGGCCUGGAUAACUCUCGCUUGUAACAAGGCGGAUUGCAAGGAUUGCUGUGCUGCAAGGUCCAGCUCUCUUUGAAUUUCCAGGUCUAUGUACCUUUACAAACCCCAAUUGUAUAAUGAAGAAUGUAGUCAAUGGGCUUCAAUGCCUAUAAAACAAAUACAACUUUCAGCAACGGAUCUCUUGGCUCU
rnacentral:misc_RNA from 1 species